rnacentral:lncRNA from 13 species
ACCCCCUGGCUCAAGAUCCAUGAUGGUGAGAGAGAACCAACCCCCUGGCUCAAGAUCCAUGAUGAUGAGAGAGAACCAACCCCCUGGCUCAAGAUCCAUGAUGGUGAGAGAGAACCAACCCCCUUGGCUCAAGAUCCAUGAUGUUGAGAGAGAACCAACCCCCUGGCUCAAGAUCCAUGAUGUUGAGAGAGAACCAACCCCCUGUCCAGUCCCCUCCUACUCCCCCCAAGGCCUAGGGGAUAUGACCAAGCUCAGUCCGGAGGGGGACCCUGUCCCUCUAGUCACCACUGGUGUGUGUGUGUGUGUGUGUGUGUCAAGCUGAAGUGAGAGAUGUAUUGUCAGUCAGGAGUUAACAGAAGAAAAUAAACUCACACUGCGGUACUUCCUUAGCAUUCAACCACACAGCUAGCUAUACACAGCAGGCCUGAAAUUGCGAGNNNNNNNNNNGUCAUUCUCAACAUGUCCUGCAGUGUUACGGUCAUUCUCAACAUGUCCUGCAGUGUUACGGUCAUUCUCAACAUGUCCUGCAGUGUUACGGUCAUUCUCAACAUGUCCUGCAGUGUUACGGUCAUUCUCAACAUGUCCUGCAGUGUUACGGUCAUUCUCAACAUGUCCUGCAGUGUUACGGUCAUUCUCAACAUGUCCUGCAGUGUUACGGUCAUUCUCAACAUGUCCUGUGUGUGUGUGUGUGUGUACCUGCGUGUUUGAGGAUGAGGAUUGUAAAACAUGUAGUGAGACCUGAUGAUGCAGUAUGUGACUUCCUGCACUGGGCCUGGUCACCAUUGAUCCCCAUGCACCUAACUCUGGCCUUUGACCCCUAAAAUGGGGUGAAAGGUCAAAAUGAUUUCUCCAGGUCAUAUCGAGUUCUUCGCCAUGAUGACCACUCAACUACAAAGAGAGAAAAGAAGACAGAAUACAGCUGGGCCUGAGACAGAUGUAAACUCUGACCCUGCCCGGCACCCCAGGUUUCUCCCUCCCUGAUGACAACUGGGUCUGAGACGGAUGUAAACUCUGACCCUGCCCGGCACCCCAGGUUUCUCCCUCCCUGUUGACAGCUCUACAAUGCUGACUCUUAGCGGAACCCGGUGCAGUGAUGUCAUACUUGGUCAGGCCGUUCCUGACCGUGCCAUCUCCGUGAGGCUGCUUUCCACGCCAAUGACUAAGGGGCUUGACCACUGUGUACCAUGCCGUUGGAAAGCUCUGCCAAAGAUGUUACCUCUUACUCUAACUAAAUUACAUGGAAAUGUUUAGUUUAACUUGGUAUUCUUUGGUUCUCUAUUUCACCUACAGUACGCUAUUCUGUACAGCUCUUCUUCCAUGAAUGUUUUGUAUUUUAUUCCCUUUUUCUCCCCAAUUUCGUGCGAUCCAAUUACGAUCUUGUCUCUCAGUGCUGCAACUCCCCAACGGGCUCGGGAAAGGCGAAGGUCGAGUCAUGAGUCCUCCAAAACAUGACCCGACAAAUUGUUCUUCUUAACACCUGCCCGCUUAACCAGGAAGCCAGCUGCACCAAUGUGUCGGAGGAAACGCCACUCAACUGAUGACCGAAGUCAGCCUGCAGGCUCCCGGCCCACCACAAGGAGUCGCUAGAGCACGAUGAGCCAAGUAAAGCCCCCCUCUGCCAAACCCUCCCCGGAUGACGCUGGGCCAAUUGUGCGCCGCCCUAUGAGGCCGUUUGUGACUCAGCCCGGGAACGAACCAGGGUCUGUAGUGACGUCUCUUCUAAAGGAAUGAACACUUAAACAAAUAUGACAUAAUAAAGAUGGACAGUCUUAGCACAGGAAACCACAAUGCUGUAUAAUCAGUAUAUAAACAGACAGUAACCUACACACGGACAGGGUGACCUGAACUUACCUUAAAGGACAGUGAUGUUAUAAAACACAGCGUGUCUGUACAGACACACGCCAUCUAAACAUUCAGUUUACAUGAACUUCACAACCUUACACACGCACGAAAGCUUGGAAAACAGUCCUCCCAUCCAAGCCUUCUGCUACACAUGAAAUGAGAAGGUUGUUGACACGAGCCAGAUAUCCAACAGACUAUUAAAGCCUGGUAAAUAUUCCCCUUGACCCUCUUGUAUGAGAGGAAUGCCAGAGGUUUACCUCUGGACUG